UAUCAGUACCAUGGUGGAACAAAUUUUGGGCGGACAGUUGCUGGUCUCUUCAUUGCCAUUAGCUACGACUAUGAUGCUCCGAUUGAUAAAUAUGGAUUACUAAGAGAACCAAAAUGUGGGCAUUUGACAAAUUUGCACAAAGCUAUCAAGCAAUGUGAACCAGCUUUGGUUUCCUCGUAUCCCGCAGUGACUUGGCCUGGCAAUAAUCUAGAGGUAGAUUAAGCAAAAGCUAUGAAUAUAUACUGUGGUUUUCAACAUUUGUUGCUUUUUUGACAAUUGAAACUCGCUCUUUUUCAUCAACGGUCAACUAUCAGGAACCGUGUACGGGCCACUAGGGAAUCCAAAACUGACAUAUAGCAGCACUGUGAAGUUGAGAGCCGGAAUUAACAAGAUUUCUUUACUAAUUGUUGCUGUUGGCCUUCCGGUUAGUCCAUACCUUCUGAUAAAAGUUUACAUUCUUGGGAUGUUAAUGACAGUAAUGGAAUCUUUCUAAAUUCUAUUGGAUCGAUUUCAUAAUGUCGGUGUGCAUUAUGAGACAUGGAACACGGGGGUUCUUGGCCCGGUCACACUGAAGGGCCUCAAUGAGGGGACAAGAGACUUGACAAAGCAACAGUGGUCUUACAAGGUUUGUUUUUGUUUUCAUGAGUUUUCUGCUUCCAUUUCCUGUUUCCAAGUAUACUCUCUACAUUUCAAAAUGGUAAAAGUCCGAGGCAAUGAUGAAACCAGUAAGUUUCCUUCAAAGUCGAGUGGUGAAAACAAUAAUAAAGGGAUACCAGAAUUUAUCAGAAGAUAAUAAUAAUAUAGGGAUACCGGGAUGAAAUAAAGCAUGACAUGGGAAAAGAAGUUCAUAUAGUUCAUAAACAAGCAAUAAAAAUUAAGAUUGAUGUUUCUAUGUUGGUUGGUCUAAAAGGCGAGAACUCAAAACUGCAAACCCUUGAUGGAAGUUCCUCUGUUGAGUGGGCUGAGGGAUCACUAUUGGCUACAAAACAACCCUUGACAUGGUACAAGGUAAUAAUCAUCCCAAACCCCCCGUUAACGCCUUUUCAUUGAUACUUAUGAGUUCCAUUACCAUAGAUGCACAAAUGAAUUCAUAAAAGAAGCUUUUAAUUCAUUGAACAAUCUUUCCAGACUACAUUCAACGCACCAGCAGGAAAUGAUCCAUUAGCUCUUUUUUUUUUUUUGGUUGAUUCUCCUUUCUCAUCUCUCUCUGAUUUUGAUUUGAUUUCUAGAGUUUUGACUUUGAUUU